AAACCAAAAGAGAAAAGAAACUUUGCACGCGCGUAUAUAGACACAAAAAAAAGAAAGAAAAAAAAAGAAAUCAGACAUACGUAUACAGAGGUGGAGACAAAUUUGACGCACGCGUUUGGUACAGAAAUUCGAAUAAAAUCGAGUACAACGAUGAUGGAACAGCGUACAUAGGGAGAGGACGAUAGAGAAAGAGGAAUCGUGUAACGUCUCCGAUAAAACCGGCCUUGCGGGAACGAACGGACACACGAGGCCAGCGAUAUACUCGCAAAACGGAAGACACGCUCGCGUGCGCGCGCACGCAAACGAGGCUCGUCCAUGCGCGGACGUCGUGUGGCUCGCUGCCCGCUGAUAACACACGAUACGUUUGACCCGGCCAGCUUCUAUGAAAAACGACACAAAAGGAAAAACAUCGACCUGCGUCUCGGUGGAUAUCCGUAAUUCGCACCGUGGAGAUGCACGACCAGAGGAGACCAGAGGAGGAAUAGGAGGAGGGAUGCCCGGGGGGGUGGUGGCGGCGGAGGGAGAAGUGAUUUUCCAACGGUCGUCGGCAUAGUAGUGCAUGCGCGGCGCGUCGCGACGCGGCGCCUCGCGGUGAAAGAGUAAGAAGUAGCGAUUUCGUCCUCUCCUCGGUUUCUUCCCGUGCGUGUUUCUCCUCGUAGACGUCGGGCUCUCUUGUGCUACAUUCUUACGCGUUCCCUCCUUCUUGCCUUGAUAACCGUCCUGUGGUCGACGGACCACCGUCCUUUCUUCCUCCUUUUCCUCCUCCUCCUUCUCCUCUUCCUCUUCUUCUUUUCGUUCUUUUCCGUUCCGCGUUAUCGUUUCCUCUCGUCGAAACUCUCUCUUUUCCCCCCCUCCCUCUCCCGCUCCUCGUUGAUAAUUCCCCUUUUUUCUUCCCUGUUCGUCACGAGACACGACGUAUACACACAUACGUACAUAUUGUACGUAUAUACAUGCGUGUGUAUAGUCUAGUCUCCUAAAAACCACCACCUCCCCACGCCACCGUUCUCUCUGGUUCUCUCCUCUCCUCUCUCCGGUGUGUUAGAGUGUGUUGAGAGAUUUCCGCCGGUGUGUCGACUGGAUUCACUUGGUACGCGUUUCCUCGCGCCUCGAGUCAGAGAGACGGGAAGCUUUCCGGGGGCUGCGUGUGUAUUUUCGUGCGUCGCGCGGGGUCUCGUGCUUCGUUAGGUCGCGCCGCGCGAAACCUAACGUUUCUUGGGAGGCUGCUGUUUCUUCUCGCUUCUCUGUUCUUUCGUCGUCGUCGUCCUCGGUGUGCAGCAGCGGCGACAAGCGGCGGCAGCCAGCAACACACGGCGACGAGCGGGCGUCCGUGACACGAUCCAGGGGAAUCGAGCGAUCCGUUUGUUCGUGGUUGCAAGUAUAACGAGUGCUUCGAAACGCGCGAAUAAAUGUGUCGGUCACGGUACAAGACGUGAAGCGGGGGAAAUACACGGCAAGUGAGUAUAUUUUUAGUAGCAAGCGCCAAGCGCUAAAGGCAGAAGUGGUAUAAACGGCGCGCAGUGGCCUGAUGAAGCGGCGUAUGUGACAUCAAAUUUCUCUCUCUUGCCACCUCGACGAGACACCCGAGACAUCUUGCAGACCAUCAGCGCGCGGUGAGUAUUGCCCCGAACCGAUUGAUUCGCCAUUCCGCAAACAGUCACCGCCGCCGCCGCCGCCGCCGCCGCCACUACCACCCCCAGCACCCCUCCGCCCAUCGAUGCCCACCCAAUCCACCAUCUCCUCCGCAGGCUAGUCCAUCUCUCUCUCUCUCUCUCUCUCUCUCUCUCUCUCUCUCUCUCUCUUCACCCCUCCAAUCCUCCAAUUCGUGCUCGUGUGCCUUCUGCUUCUUACACUUUUACACGCAUGUACCAUGGAUACACGUGUAGCACACGAAAGCUCUGAAAUUCCAUAUUUUCGUCCCUCUUCCGGAUACUUUUAUAUUCUCGAAUUUUAUUUUUCCCCUUACAUAUGCAUAUAGCAGUCUAGAAAAUUCU